UACGAAGGGGGCUAGCGUUGUUCGGAUUUACUGGGCGUAAAGCGCACGUAGGUGGACAGUUAAGUGAGAGGUGAAAUCCCAAGGCUCAACCUUGGAACUGCCUUUCAUACUGGUUGUCUUGAGUUCGGAAGAGGUGAGUGGAAUUCCUAGUGUAGAGGUGAAAUUCGUAGAUAUUAGGAAGAACACCGGUGGCGAAGGCGGCUCACUGGUCCGAUACUGACACUGAGGUGCGAAAGCGUGGGGAGCAAACAGG
rnacentral:rRNA from 1 species